rnacentral:rRNA from 1 species
ACGGAGGGUGCGAGCGUUGUCCGGAAUCACUGGGCGUAAAGGGCGCGUAGGCGGCGCGAGGAGUCGGGGGUGAAAGUCCGGGGCUCAACCCCGGAUCGGCCUUCGAUACUCUCGCGCUGGAGCACAGUAGAGGCGGGUGGAAUUCCGGGUGUAGCGGUGAAAUGCGCAGAUAUCAGGAGGAACACCGGUGGCGAAGGCGGAUCUCUGGGCCUUACCUGACGCUGAGGCGCGAAAGCUAGGGGAGCAAACAGGA